GGUCCCUCUCCCUUCUUCCGUUUCUCUCUCUAACUCUCUGUUCAAAAGUUUCCAUUACAUACAGUAAAGUUCAAUUUAUUUACCAAAGUUUCUGCGCGCACACAGAUAUUUGGAUUUGUUGCUUCCUGAAAUUGUAGCAAUCGGCGGCAGUAGCAGCCAUGGGAAAUUGCUGCUCCGACGAGAACGGUGGACAUUCGGGGGUCGGCGGUAACGGUGCUUACGCGGCAAAUCAAAACAACGGCCAUAACGAAGCCUUCGAUGCUCUACUCAAGUCUCGCGGUUACCAAGGCCUCUACUCGCAUGUCGAGUUGUCUCUAUCUGCUACCGGUUUGCGUGAUCGCGAUGUGCUUUCCAAGAGUGAUCCUAUGGUAGUCAUUUAUUCAAAAGGAAGAGAUGGUUCAUUGCAAGAGCUUAGUCGUACUGAAGUAGUUCCAAAC
rnacentral:misc_RNA from 1 species